rnacentral:sRNA from 1 species
AGCACCCCCACCUGCCAGAGCUGAUCCUCCCUAGGCCCUGCCUAACCUUGAGUUGGCCCCCAAUCCCUCUGGCUGCAGAAGUUCCCUUACCCCCAAUGAGAGGAGGGGCAGGAGCAGAUCUUUUGAGAGCUGAGGGUUGAGGGCAUUGAGCCAACACACAGACUUGUCGCCUCUGUCCCCGAAGACACCUGCACCCUCCAUGCGGAGCCAAGAUGGGGAAUGGAACUGAGGAAGAUUAUAACUUUGUCUUCAAGGUGGUGCUGAUCGGCGAAUCAGGUGUGGGGAAGACCAAUCUACUCUCCCGAUUCACGCGCAAUGAGUUCAGCCACGACAGCCGCACCACCAUCGGGGUUGAGUUCUCCACCCGCACUGUGAUGUUGGGCACCGCUGCUGUCAAGGCUCAGAUCUGGGACACAGCUGGCCUGGAGCGGUACCGAGCCAUCACCUCGGCGUGAGCCCGGGUCUGGGGGGCUGCUGGGUGGUGGGAGUUCUGGGGAAGUCGAGGAACACUUCUGGAGGAGAAGUGGGGGAGGAGGAGGCAAGGGGGCUCAGCAGUGGGCUCUGGGGGGUGGGGAUGGAGAUCACAGAAGAUAAAAGGUACUGUAAACAGAAACAGCACAAGCCAGG